GACGAAGGGGGCUAGCGUUGUUCGGAAUUACUGGGCGUAAAGCGCGUGUAGGCGGUUGCCGUAGUCAGGUGUGAAAGCCUUGAGCUUAACUCAAGAAAUGCACUUGAUACUGGGCGACUAGAGGACCGGAGAGGAUAGUGGAAUUCCCAGUGUAGUGGUGAAAUACGUAGAGAUUGGGAAGAACACCCGUGGCGAAGGCGGCUCUCUGGGACGGUACUGACGCUGAGACGCGAAAGCGUGGGGAGCGAACAGG
rnacentral:rRNA from 1 species